rnacentral:lncRNA from 1 species
CUCAUUCUUAUGGUUUUCAUUGAAAUGUGCCUGUGGAAGAAUCACCAGCAGAGUAUCAUAGAGAAAUAUGACCCUCCAGGAUACCUCUAACAAGGAUCAGAUAGUAAUGGGCAGAUGAUGUAAUGCACCACUCUCUCAGGAGCAAAUGAGAUAAAUGGAAAUGUUCAUGGAGGCUUACUGAGCAAUGGAGGUUUCAGCAGUGGCUGUUCCCACCUUCACCAUAAGGUCUGUCCUCAGUGUAGUUGUGAAUGGAGUCAGUGUAGUUGUGUGGAGUCAGUGUAGUUGUGAAUGGGAGCUUAAAUGGAGGGCUUUACUCUGGGCACACCAACUCUCUUACAGCAAUGGGGAUGGAGCU